GCCUGCGCGCCCUCGCCUCCUGAGCCGCCCCUCUAGCAUGUGGUAAGGAUAGAAGCAGCCAAAGACAUUUGUGCAACAAGGUACUGCAUGGAAACAACCUAGCUCUGGCAAUGGCGGAGGCGGGGGAGAAGGCGAUGGUAGUUGUGCUUCGCGGCGACGUCGCCGGCUCCCUCCUCGCCAAGACCACGCAGGGCCACGCCGACGUCCUCCUCCUCGACUCGUAAGCCCCCUCUUCCUUGCUCGCUUUGUUCCUACGCCAAUCGAUCUGUUCCUUGUGUGCCUCCUCGGCCCAAAGGUGCGUGGUUCAGUCGCCCUGGUCCCCUGCCGGCACCCAAUCCUUAGGGAUCUGACCGGAUGUACUUAAUUCGGGGUAUAGAAAUGGGUGGAUUGCGGCGAGGGGUAGCACCAAGCUGGAGUUGCCAUUGAAGGUGCCGUACGACUUCAUCGUGAUGCUGAUGAAGGAUCUGUUAGGAGACCGGGGCAUCGACUACCUGCUAGAGGUGGGGCUCGCCAUCGACCUCCCCGCCAUUGGCACCUUUACUAUUCUGCUCACCAUCAAGGGAGCCUUCCGGGAAUUCAGAUGUAUUAGCAUAUGAAUCGAUUUAUUGUCACACCAUAAUCGCUAUACCGAAGCAAUGAUGGUGGAUUAGCAAUAUUUGGGGAUUUUUUUUUGUGUUCUUACACCGGUGUGAUAGAGGAGUUUAAACCUAACUGUCAUAAAAAAUCUAACCCGAUGUUUAAAUCCAUUUUUUGAAAUCUAUUCCACCACCAACAGUUAAGAGAAACUCUAUUCCACCGCCUGCAGUUAAGGAAAAAAAUCAAGUUUUCUAAACUCUAAAAGGCAUGGUUUCAGAAACGCCUUUCUAGAUGAUUUUGCAUAUUUAUUUUUUAGACCACGGUUUAUGAAAUUGAAGAACAACAAGUGUGGCUCAAAAGUAUAGAGGGAAAGAAAAUAUAUUAUAUGCGACAUUGUUGCAUGGCACCAUGUGUGCGACAUCCUAUAAUUGUCGACAUUGAUAUGCUCUCAAAUUGGAUGCCCUGUUCCUUUGUAUUUAUGAGCAGGAAAGAAUUAUAGGGAGUAACAGGCUCGCCAUCCAUGAGUGGUCAGCUCAUACUUUUGGUGUGUGUAUUGAUUUGUCUUGAGAAAGAACAUUGUUGUGUUAUCUUAGAAAUUCUUACUGGCACUGGGGUUGAAUGCUUACCAUCUUUUUUCUUCGAAAUUCAUUAUCUGAGCUGAUAACAAGGUGUUGUAAAUGUUUGCUGGCUAGCAAGAUGCAGUUUUCCUGUUUUUUUUGCUGCUCUUUCCGUUAUGAUUUCAGUUCAUUAUUUCUAUGUUCUAAAAUCUCUGGAUUUAAUUACCAUACUCGGACAGCUAUACUCAGACUGUUCCACUGUUGCUACUUAGGUUUUUUCUAGCUAGCCAGUGAUCUGCAGCUAAGCAAGUAUUACAACUAAAAAAAUGCUAGCCUACAUGUGUACUGAUAGGAAUACUCAUUGGGGGCAGGAUGAACAAGGCCUACAGUUUCUAAAAUAUGAUAAAUGCACAAUUCUAUUAGCAUUUGUUCCUGUAUACAUAACUUUCUGUUGUAUCCUACAUGUGAACCUAUUUGCUUUCAUCUCUCGUGACUUUAUUGGCUUGAAGCCAUUUGCUUUCAUCUCUUGGUCAUACAUAUGAGAUCUUUUCAUCUUCUCAAGCUUUUAAAUUCAUUUGAUCUUCAUCAAACUAAAAGAUGAAGUCAAUUUGCUUACUUUCAGCCUCCAGUUCUAAGUUUGUGCAAAAACUCUGAAUGAGGGGUAUCAAAUUAAAAAAUAGUGCUUACAUGCUAGACAAUUACUGUUUUAUUUUGCUUGAUGAUCUAUUAAUGAAAGUAAAAAGUACCCUCUCAUUCAUCGGUCCGCCGUCGGCCACGUCGCUCUGCGACCCCAUCUUCAUUCUGCACAAGCGCCCACCUCGUCCGCAGCACCACACAACAGCUCAGGCGAGGCACCCACCAUCCAUCGGCACAGAUGGGAUGAGGUGAGGAUUAGGGAGACAAUUUCAGAGUUCAGACUUUGUUUCAAUGUUUCAGACAUUCAGAGCUUACAUUGCCUCCAAGUUAGUUCUAUUUAGAUGUAACAUUUUUUGUAGGUAAUGCCCCUUUACUGUUCUUAUUGAUUAGCAUGUUGGUACUUGACCUAUUUGUGUGAUGAACACAAUCCAAUAGUAAUCUUGAAAUUUGAAACAUAGGCUUAGUGCAGUUCGUUUAGCCUAAAGAAUUAGGGGUGUAUUGUUUGAUUGCUUAUGCAUUAUGCAAUUUGGUUAUAGAAUUUGUGACACCUGAUCUGCAUCUCCAGCUCCUUCACACCCGUGCAACAGAUAAGGUAAUUAUUCUAUUUGUUUGGUUGGCAUGGAUGAAUUUUGUGAGUCGAUAGGCUUCAAAUUUGGGCUGGCUCCGCCACUACUUCUGGGACAGGACAUUUAGAGCUCUUAGCAGGUUGGCUCACACAGCUUUCAUAUAAAAAUCUUAGUGCUUAUCUGUUUUCCCCUUUAAUUCAUUUGACUUGCAAUUAGUCAACAAACAUUCUGCAACAACAUCUGAUCCUCCAAACAUCCAAAAGAUACUUAGUUACUUACCUUACUUUUUGGCAGAUGCACUUCAUUUUACCAUGCCCAAACAGACUCAGUUGAUCCUUGAUUUAUUAGUUCUUGGACGACUCAGUUGCCAAUACUCUCAUUUAAAAUUGAAUGUUGUGCUAGCAAGCUAAAAACUUCACCCCAAAUAGAAUGUUCAUUCUAUUUUUUGUCCUAAGUCAAUCCACCUUAAAUUAAGAAAAGCUUAUACAAGAAAAUACCAAUUAAAUAAUUAAUCAUAUUUAUAUCAGUAUAUCACCAUCUAAGCACCAUUAGAUUCAUCAUGAAAUAUAUUUUCAUAGUACAUCUAUCUGGUGUCAUAUGUGUUCAUAAUCUUUUCUAAAUACCAGCAAUCUGUAGUGAUUGAUGUAUUCUUGAACUGCUACAGGCUCUAUCAAAUACCUUAACAGUAGACGAGCCUUUCUAUCUGAAAUCACAAUUUUUUAUUGGAACCAGACAGGAAUGGAUGCAUCACUCUUGGCAAUAUCAGAAUGGCAUUAACGAGAGAAGCUGAUGAUACAAUGAAGGAAUCGCGAGUUUAAGAUGUUCUUGUUUCGGUACAUUUGGUUUGUAUCAUAUGACACCAUUUUGUUCAUGCAAAAAUUCCAAGAGUUAUGUGCAGAAGCAGUUAGUGUGCACCAGCUUGAAGCAUUGGAUAGAUGGGAGCAACAUGUGCGAUCUGCUUAUCAAUCAAUGCCAGUUCAUCUGGUGAUCAGAAUGUUGUCGCUAAAUGAUUAGGUGGGAAAGGGAGGAUUCCAAGCUGUACGUGCAGAGUGGUGACAACAAGUGGAGCUACAGAGAAAAGAUUGAGUUCACGAUCUACUUCGCAUAGGAGAUCUCUCAAGGCCUGCUAUUUGAGAUGGAGGACCAGAUCCCUUCGCUCGCUGACCUUAUUAAGUUCGGCAGCUUGCUGGAUUUCCAACAACAAUACAGGUGAUGUCGGCCAUUGAUGAGGGGGCAUGUUGAAGCAGCAGAAUGUCCGUGCUAAUAGAAUGCAGCAUGUCUUAAUUCGUCAUCUACUGAUAUCAGCAAGGCCUUGGAAUUGGGUGCACUUAUGGGAUAGCCUACAUGUCAUGGACCUUGGUAUUUUGGUAUGCUAGGAUCUUCAUCAGGAAUGGGUAGACUGAUGUUGGAAAGUGAAAGAUGUUGAUAUUAUUAAACUACUUGUGGUCUUGCUGAUCAUAAUACUUUUUUAUUGUAGCAAGCCCCGUUGGUCGGUGUCUGUGAUUUAUUGUUCCUAUGUACUAGGUGUUCCUAUGAUAUUUCUGAUUUUCUUUAAUAUGUGAAUUUGACAUUUCUGCAGGUUGAACACGGAUUAGGGAAACUUGGAUGGCAUGACAGCCAAUGAGGUCAUUGAGUUCUUCUGUGAGUUGAUUGUGAAUUGAUUGUUACACGCACAUGGGAUCUGUGAUUAAUCUAAUGUUCCUCAUGAUCUGCUUCUCUUUCUUUAUCAGGUUUGAAAGUCUUUAUGUGCACUUCUAGCACUUCUUUUUAAUUCAAGGCAUCUUCACAUCCAUGAUAUCUAGGUUUUCAUAAUCAAUUUUGUGGAUCUUAGCAUCCCUGAAUAUCUUUCUGAACUUUUGAUUGGAGUUUUCGAUUUUCCUGGGAUCUAAUAGCUUCAUUUUUAUUGAAAUAUCAUGUCAAUCCUUCCAUUUUUUAGUUUACAUCGAAUGGUGUUUAUGCAGGCUUUUGAUGGUGUGGAUGGAAAAUAAGCAAGGCGUACCAACUCAUCAAGUCCUCUAGGCGAGCCUUUUGACCACGGAUGUGAUGCGCUUGCAUGUGGUGUAAGACCACAUGUCAAUAUUUUUUAUUUCAAGAUCAAUGAUUUUCAAGUCGUUGCUAGCAGAUCGCAAAGAAAUUUGGGUCAGUUAGCCAUCUGAAUUCAUUGCUCCGGUGCGCCUAUGAUAGAAUUUAGGGGGAACAAACAAAUGCGACCGGAAACUGACCUUGCGUUAUUUCUUCCCAGGAUGUACGGUUUCAAACAAAGGAGAUAUUUUGCAUGUGGUUUCAUCUUUGCGUUGCAAGCUACUCUACAUAUCUUCCUAGGAUGCCAAUACCUGUAAAUGUGCAACAAAUAAAUGUGACCGUACUUAUUUACCUCAGUGCGUUAUUUCUUGUCUUAUUUACUUCCGUGCAACAAACAAAUGCGAGUGUCCUUGAUGUACAACCACCAAAUUUUAGGCGAGGUGGAUUCCUUCCUAUAUUUUCCUCGCUCUCUUUUCUUGAA